rnacentral:rRNA from 1 species
UACGUAGGGGGCGAGCGUUGUCCGGAUUUAUUGGGCGUAAAGAGCUCGUAGGCGGCUUAGCAAGUCGGGUGUGAAAACGUCCAGGCUCAACCUGGAGACGCCACUCGAGACUGCUAUGGCUAGAGUCCGGUAGGGGACCACGGAAUUCCUGGUGUAGCGGUGAAAUGCGCAGAUAUCAGGAGGAACACCGGUGGCGAAGGCGGUGGUCUGGGCCGGCACUGACGCUGAGGAGCGAAAGCGUGGGGAGCAAACGGG